UCUAUUGGGUAAUGUAGCUGCUCAGCAAAACUGUUCGCACCAUAGACUGUAUUGCCCUGCUGCUGCAACGAGCUUUAUUGACUCGUAGAAAAUCGCUUGGUGACAGGGCUAUUUUCCAUUUGACAAACUGAGGGUAAUCGACGAAAAACGAUUGUUAGUGAUAAUACGCUACAGAGCGAACAACUCGUCAUGGAGUCAUAUGACAUCAUAGCUAACCAGCCUGUUGUCAUUGAUAAUGGUUCAGGUGUGAUCAAGGCUGGCUUUGCUGGAGACCAGAUCCCCAAAUACUGUUUUCCAAACUAUGUGGGACGUCCCAAGCAUGUACGUGUAAUGGCAGGUGCACUCGAAGGGGAUCUUUUCAUUGGCCCCAAAGCAGAGGAGCACCGGGGGCUGCUGUCUGUGAGGUAUCCCAUGGAGCACGGCAUAGUGAAGGACUGGAAUGAUAUGGAGCGUAUCUGGCAUUACGUCUACUCAAAGGAGCAGCUGCAGACCUUCUCUGAGGAGCAUCCUGUGCUGCUGACAGAGGCGCCCCUGAACCCCAGUAAAAACCGUGAGCGGGCAGCUGAGGUUUUCUUUGAGACCUUUAAUGUUCCGGCGCUAUUCAUCUCCAUGCAGGCCGUGCUCAGCCUGUACGCCACAGGGCGGACGACAGGUGUGGUGCUGGAUGCGGGUGACGGGGUGACCCACGCCGUGCCCAUCUAUGAAGGCUUUGCCAUCCCCCACUCCAUCAUGCGUGUGGACAUCGCUGGUCGUGACAUCUCCCGAUUCCUGCGUCUGCUCCUGCGCAAGGAGGGCUAUGACUUCCACACCUCUGCCGAGUUUGAGGUGGUCCGCACCAUCAAAGAGAGAGCGUGCUACCUGUCCCUGAACCCUCAGAAGGACGAGACCCUGGAGACAGAGAAGGCACAGUACACCCUACCCGAUGGAAGCACGCUGGAUAUUGGCCCGGCACGUUUCCGGGCCCCAGAGCUGCUGUUCCGGCCAGACCUGAUCGGGGAUGAGAGCGAGGGCAUCCACGAGGUGCUGGCCUUCGCCAUCCAGAAGUCUGACAUGGACCUGCGACGCACGCUCUUCUCCAACAUCGUGCUGUCUGGAGGCUCCACACUGCUCAAAGGUGUGGAAACCAAGUUCACCUCCCCCACCACGGUGUUCAUUUGGAAUUUUUCCACCAGGAUGAUAUGCCUGCAUGAGUGGUGCAGCUUUGCUGCACAAAUAUAUAUUUGUUUUUAAUUCCAACUUGCAUUUUGGAGGAUUCUAGUUGUUAUCUAGCGUUAGAGUUAUUAGUUAGUGGUUUUUGUAGAACUGUUUUGGGAUAGUUUACCUACCCUGCCCUGCCUGCAGAGUUACCAUUGUGGAUUUGGACGAUUUUGACUGCUGUUUCUCGCCUGCAGAAAACUACAAAAUGGCUGAGCAUUCACUGUUCAGCUUCUGAAAGUAGCACCAGACGACUCACCAAGUGCGGGUAGAUUAUGUCAGUGUUGAGUAAACAGGAUCACUUUACUGGACAAAUUCUCUGGAAGUUGCAUCACACGCAUAACUUCAGAAUACUCCCACAAAUCUCUGGAUCUGUUUGGAUGCUUUGAUGAAAUGUGUCUGCGGUCUGCACCUGCUAGAGCCAUAGAUUUUCUAUGGCUGGAGUGGUAUUGAGUGGUAACCUAAAGUUAGCCAAGACAUUUCUGUGAAAAUGAUCUAAUGUUAGUCAGCUGUCGACAAAGAUGUGGCCAACACAUCACUGGGCUAGAAGAAAAAUAAGCAGUUAAAAGAAGGUGUUGACACCUCGGGCGACAUGGCUCAGGAGGUAAGACCGAUUGUCUGGCAGUUGGAGGGUUGCCAGUUCAAACCCCGCCCCGGGCGUGUCGAAGUGUCCUUGAGCAAGACACCUAACCCCUAACUGCUCUGACGAAUGAGAGGCAUCAAUUGUAAAGCGCUUUGGAUAAAAGUGCUAUAUAAAUGCAGUCCAUUUACCAAGAAUAAAGUGAGUUUUUUAAAAAUUUAGUUUUAAUGUAGAAGAAGCUUAAUAAUGGCAAGUGUUGCUAAUGGCUGGCAUAAUGCCCCACAUCCCCUUGCCCUACUACUACACCAUGGCCUGGAGAUAAUACAUCGCUCCUCUUGCCUUACUACAACACCAGGACCCUGGGGUAAUACACCACUCCCCCUGCUCUACUAGUACACUAGGACCUGGGGAUAAUACACCACCUUUCCUUGCCUUACUACAACACCAGGACCUGGGGAUAAUACACCACCUUUCCUUGCCUUACUACAACACCAGGACCUGGGGAUAAUACACCACCUUUCCUUGCCUUACUACUACACCAGGACCUGGGGAUAAUACACCACCUCCCCUGCCCGACUAGUACACCAGGACCUGGAGAUAAUGCACCACCAUUCCUUGCCUUACUACAACACCAGGACCUUGGGAUAAUGCACCACCAUUCCUUACCUGACUACUACACCAGGAUCUGGAGAUAAUACACCGCUCCUCUUGCCUUACUGCUACAUCAGGACCCUGGGGUAAUACACCGCACCCCCCCGGCCCUACUAGUACACCAGGACCCAGGGAUAAUACACGACCUUUCCUUGCAUUACUACUACACCAGGGCCUGGGGAUAAUAUACCACCUCCCCCUGCCCUAAUAUUCCAGGACCUGGGGAUAAUACACCACCUCCCCUGCCCGACUAGUACACCAGGACCUGGAGAUAAUGCACCAGCAUUCCUUGCCUUACUACAACACCAGGACCUGGGGAUAAUGCACCACCAUUCCUUACCUGACUACUACACCAGGAUCUGGAGAUAAUACACCGCUCCUCUUGCCUUACUGCUACAACAGGACCCUGGGGCUUUGGGGAUCGUUUGCUGAGUGAAGUGAAGAAGCUGGCUCCUAAAGAUGUUAAAAUUAAGAUCUCUGCACCACAAGAGAGAUUGUACUCCACAUGGAUUGG